AAUGCGAGGAAGCAAUCCCAUAAACCGUGGCUCAGUUCAGAUCGUAGGCUGCAACUCGCCUACGUGAAGGAGGAAUCGCUAGUAAUCGCAGGUCAGCAUACUGCGGUGAAUACGUUCCCGGGCCUUGUACACACCGCCCGUCACACCAUGGAAGUUGGCCACGCCCGAAGCCGUUACUCCAACCCUUGUGGAGGAGGACGUCGAAGGUGGGGCUGAUGACUGGGGUGAAGUCGUAACAAGGUAUCCGUACCGGAAGGUGCGGAUGGAUCACCUCCUAA
rnacentral:rRNA from 1 species